AGAUUGAACGCUGGCGGCAUGCCUUACACAUGCAAGUCGAACGGCAGCGGGGGUAGCUUGCUACCUGCCGGCGAGUGGCGAACGGGUGAGUAAUACAUCGGAACGUGCCCUGUAGUGGGGGAUAACUAGUCGAAAGACUAGCUAAUACCGCAUACGACCUGAGGGUGAAAGUGGGGGACCGCAAGGCCUCAUGCUAUAGGAGCGGCCGAUGUCUGAUUAGCUAGUUGGUGGGGUAAAGGCCCACCAAGGCGACGAUCAGUAGCUGGUCUGAGAGGACGAUCAGCCACACUGGGACUGAGACACGGCCCAGACUCCUACGGGAGGCAGCAGUGGGGAAUUUUGGACAAUGGGGGCAACCCUGAUCCAGCAAUGCCGCGUGUGUGAAGAAGGCCUUCGGGUUGUAAAGCACUUUUGUCCGGAAAGAAAUCGCUUCGGUUAAUACCUGGAGUGGAUGACGGUACCGGAAGAAUAAGGACCGGCUAACUACGUGCCAGCAGCCGCGGUAAUACGUAGGGUCCAAGCGUUAAUCGGAAUUACUGGGCGUAAAGCGUGCGCAGGCGGUUGUGCAAGACCGAUGUGAAAUCCCCGGGCUUAACCUGGGAAUUGCAUUGGUGACUGCACAGCUAGAGUGUGUCAGAGGGAGGUAGAAUUCCACGUGUAGCAGUGAAAUGCGUAGAGAUGUGGAGGAAUACCGAUGGCGAAGGCAGC
rnacentral:rRNA from 1 species